AGAGUUUGAUCAUGGCUCAGAGCGAACGCUGGCGGCAGGCUUAACACAUGCAAGUCGAACGGGCGUAGCAAUACGUCAGUGGCAGACGGGUGAGUAACACGUGGGAACGUACCUUUUGGUUCGGAACAACUGAGGGAAACUUCAGCUAAUACCGGAUAAGCCCUUACGGGGAAAGAUUUAUCGCCGAAAGAUCGGCCCGCGUCUGAUUAGCUAGUUGUGGGGUAAGAGCCCACCAAGGCGACGAUCAGUAGCUGGUCUGAGAGGAUGAUCAGCCACAUUGGGACUGAGACACGGCCCAAACUCCUACGGGAGGCAGCAGUGGGGAAUAUUGGACAAUGGGCGAAAGCCUGAUCCAGCCAUGCCGCGUGAGUGAUGAAGGCCCUAGGGUUGUAAAGCUCUUUUAACGGGGAAGAUAAUGACGGUACCCGUAGAAUAAGCCCCGGCUAACUUCGUG
rnacentral:rRNA from 1 species